GAGAAAGGAGGAGAGGGUGCAAGGAAAAUCUCAUUCCUCAACAUCAAAUAAGAUACACAUAUAUUAGUGCACUAACCUUCUCAAGUAGUGAAUUAGCUGCGCUCUUCAGCUGUUGUGCAGUUGAUCCUGUCUGCUCAGCCUUGAUUUGGCACUUAAACCCAAAACUACACUGCCAUUUCACAGACGAUCAUAGAGGGACUGCAGAGAAAACACCAUGCCCUGGAUGUUUCUGGACUGGUUUGUCCCUGUCUAUCUGCUGGUCUCUAUCCUUGUCCUGGCUGGCUUUGGAGCCUGCCUGUAUUUUCUGGAGCCGGGUCUACAGGAAGCUCACAAGUGGAGCAACAAAUCACUGAGACACCAGCCGCUGGCUCCCACAAGGCAAACACGCUGCAGGGAUGACGACAGCAAUGCCUUGUUAUGACAGGACAUGUGUGGAGGCUGCAAUGAGACAUUUGUGCUAAAUCAUGUAUUUAUGCCACUUCAUCAAAAUUCAUUGACUUAAUUGAUACUGUAUAUAUAUUUUUUUGUUAUAUGCAAUGAUCUGGAAUUGGAUUUCCUCCCUGUGUACUUUGUUAAUGAACAAAAUUGAUGCAAAUCAGGUUAAUACACACAGCAGAACUCAGUUAUUUUAUGGUAAACAAUUGUAAUAGCAUUAAACACUGUAAUAUAUUCAGCCUUUGGUGUAUUCCACAUACAAUUUCAAAACCAAUCAUGAAAUCAGCUUCUAUUACUUUGGAAAUCUGACUAUCAAACAGUUAUUUCUCUUUAAACCAAGGAAAAGCACAACCAAGGAUGACACUAACCUCCCUCACAAGUCAGCAACAGAGUACAUAUUGCUGAUAUUUGGCAAAAUUUGAGGGAAAACUUAGCCUUUUUUUUUAAUUUUAUUUUUUUAAUUGAAGCUUGUUUGAGGAUACAUUAAAAUGGACAAAAGAAAAGAGGAAACAUUGCCAGGUCAUGACCGUUGUGUUCCAGGUCACAUUUUAGAAAAAGCCUGAAAAAUCCAGAAAAGACCUGUGACAAAAUACAUGUGUUGUGAGUUCAAAAGUAUUUUGUUGGUCACUCAAACUAUUAAACAUGCUGUUUGUCAUUAGUCAUAAAAAAGUAGUAGGAAUAUCUGUAUCUGUACGGUUACUAGCUUCUGCUCUAAAUAAGUGCCAUAUUUCAAAAGUAUAUUCAAGACUUGACCUUUUUAAGAAUACCAACUAUUUUCAAAUUGUGUAAUCUAUUGUAGAUGUUUUAACCUUUGCAAUGACAUUGAGAGACUGAAAACACAUGAAUACUUUUCCAGUAGUAUUAUUAGUGGGCUAAUUUGGAUAUUUGAGACACUGGAAGUAUGUUAGUUAUUGUCAAGUUUCAAUAUUUUGUGAAGUUUUUUUUAUCUGUAAGAAACUGUCAUAUUUGUUCCAAACAUAUCUGAAUUUUCAACCCAUAUGACAUCAACAUUAUUUUUGGAUUGUGACAUUUGUAGAUUCACACCCAUUUCACUCAGGGUGAACUGUUAAAACAGUGAUAAACUGAUGUAUUUGUAUGACAUACAUAAUAAAUUAGAUAAUUAUAUCAUCAA